ACGCUGGCGGCGUGCUUAACACAUGCAAGUCGAACGCUGAAGCCCAGCUUGCUGGGUGGAUGAGUGGCGAACGGGUGAGUAACACGUGAGUAACCUGCCCCCUUCUUUGGGAUAACGCCCGGAAACGGGUGCUAAUACUGGAUAUUCACUGGCCUUCGCAUGGGGGUUGGUGGAAAGGUUUUUUCUGGUGGGGGAUGGGCUCGCGGCCUAUCAGCUUGUUGGUGGGGUGAUGGCCUACCAAGGCUUUGACGGGUAGCCGGCCUGAGAGGGUGACCGGUCACAUUGGGACUGAGAUACGGCCCAGACUCCUACGGGAGGCAGCAGUGGGGAAUAUUGCACAAUGGGCGAAAGCCUGAUGCAGCGACGCCGCGUGAGGGAUGACGGCCUUCGGGUUGUAAACCUCUUUCGCUCAUGGUCAAGCCGCAACAAUGGUUGUGGUGAGGGUAGUGGGUAAAGAAGCGCCGGCUAACUACGUGCCAGCAGCCGCGGUAAUACGUAGGGCGCGAGCGUUGUCCGGAAUUAUUGGGCGUAAAGGGCUUGUAGGCGGCUGGUCGCGUCUGCCGUGAAAUCCUCUGGCUUAACUGGGGGCGUGCGGUGGGUACGGGCUGACUUGAGUGCGGUAGGGGAGACUGGAACUCCUGGUGUAGCGGUGGAAUGCGCAGAUAUCAGGAAGAACACCGGUGGCGAAGGCGGGUCUCUGGGCCGUUACUGACGCUGAGGAGCGAAAGCUUGGGGAGCGAACAGGAUUAGAUACCCUGGUAGUCCACGCUGUAAACGUUGGGCACUAGGUGUGGGGGCCACCCGUGGUUUCUGCGCCGUAGCUAACGCUUUAAGUGCCCCGCCUGGGGAGAACGGCCGCAAGGCUAAAACUCAAAGGAAUUGACGGGGGCCCGCACAAGCGGCGGAGCAU
rnacentral:rRNA from 1 species